AACGAACGCUGGCGGCAUGCCUAACACAUGCAAGUCGAACGAGACCUUCGGGUCUAUUGUCGCACGGGUGCGUAACUCGUGGGAACCUGCCCUUAGGUUCGGAAUAACUCCCCGAAAGGGGUUCUAAUACCGGAUAAUGUCUUCGAACCAAAGAUUUAUCGCCUUUGGAUGGGCCCGCGUUGGAUUAGCUAGUUGGUAGGGUAAAAGCCUACCAAGGCGACGAUCCAUAGCUGGUCUGAGAGGAUGAUCAGCCACACUGGGACUGAGACACGGCCCAGACUCCUACGGGAGGCAGCAGUGGGGAAUAUUGGACAAUGGGCGAAAGCCUGAUCCAGCAAUGCCGCGUGAGUGAUGAAGGCCUUAGGGUUGUAAAGCUCUUUUACCCGGGAUGAUAAUGACAGUACCGGGAGAAUAAGCUCCGGCUAACUCCGUG
rnacentral:rRNA from 1 species